rnacentral:tRNA from 1 species
AUAAGGUUAGUAUUAUUAAUACAUCUCAAUUACAAUGAGAAAAUCAAUAAAUUUUGACUUUAUA